UAGAGUUUGAUCCUGGCUCAGAUUGAACGCUGGCGGCAUGCUUUACACAUGCAAGUCGAACGGCAGCGCGGGCUUCGGCCUGGCGGCGAGUGGCGAACGGGUGAGUAAUAUAUCGGAACGUACCCAAGAGUGGGGGAUAACGUAGCGAAAGUUACGCUAAUACCGCAUACGAUCCAAGGAUGAAAGCAGGGGACCGCAAGGCCUUGUGCUCCUGGAACGGCCGAUAUCUGAUUAGCUAGUUGGUGAGGUAAAGGCUCACCAAGGCAACGAUCAGUAGCUGGUCUGAGAGGACGACCAGCCACACUGGAACUGAGACACGGUCCAGACUCCUACGGGAGGCAGCAGUGGGGAAUUUUGGACAAUGGGGGCAACCCUGAUCCAGCAAUGCCGCGUGAGUGAAGAAGGCCUUCGGGUUGUAAAGCUCUUUUGUCAGGGAAGAAAAGGGAGUGGCUAAUAUCCAUUCCUGCUGACGGUACCUGAAGAAUAAGCACCGGCUAACUACGUGCCAGCAGCCGCGGUAAUACGUAGGGUGCAAGCGUUAAUCGGAAUUACUGGGCGUAAAGCGUGCGCAGGCGGUUUCGUAAGUCUGUCGUGAAAUCCCCGGGCUUAACCUGGGAAUGGCGAUGGAGACUGCGAGGCUAGAGUUUGGCAGAGGGGGGUAGAAUUCCACGUGUAGCAGUGAAAUGCGUAGAGAUGUGGAGGAACACCGAUGGCGAAGGCAGCCCCCUGGGUCAAAACUGA
rnacentral:rRNA from 1 species